rnacentral:rRNA from 1 species
GUGUCAGCAGCCGCGGUAACACGUAGGGGGCGAGCGUUGUCCGGAUUUAUUGGGCGUAAAGAGCUCGUAGGCGGCUCGGUAAGUCGGGUGUGAAAACUCUAGGCUCAACCUAGAGACGCCACCUGAUACUGCUGUGGCUAGAGUCCGGUAGGGGAGCAUGGAAUUCCUGGUGUAGCGGUGAAAUGCGCAGAUAUCAGGAGGAACACCAGUGGCGAAGGCGGUGCUCUGGGCCGGUACUGACGCUGAGGAGCGAAAGCGUGGGGAGCAAACAGGAUUAGAUACCCGCGUAGUCC